CUAGUAAAGAAGUAAAACGGACUUUUUACUGGGGAUAGAGGGACUUG
rnacentral:tRNA from 1 species